rnacentral:misc_RNA from 1 species
GAUGAAGAACGCAGCGAAAUGCGAUAAGUAGUGUGAAUUGCAGAAUUCAGUGAAUCAUCGAAUCUUUGAACGCACAUUGCGCCCUUUGGUAUUCCUUAGGGCAUGCCUGUUCGAGCGUCAUUUAAACCUUCAAGCUAAGCUUGGUGUUGGGUGACUGUCCGCUUCACGGCGGACUCGCCUCAAAAUUAUUGGCGGCCGGUACAUUGGCUUCGAGCGCAGCAGAAACGCGAACUCGGGCCCGUCGUAUUGGCUCCCAGAAGCUAUCUUCACAAUUUUGACCUCGGAUCAGGUAGGGAUACCCGCUGAACUUAAGCGUAUCAAUAAGCGGAGGA